GACGAACGCUGGCGGCGUGCUUAACACAUGCAAGUCGAGCGGGAAACUUCGGUUUCCAGCGGCGGACGGGUGAGUAACACGUGGGCAACCGGCCUCACAAUGAGGGAUAGCCUUCCGAAAGGGGGAUUAAUACCUCAUAACACAAGAGAAACGCAUGUUUCUUUUGCCAAAGAAUUCCGUUGUGAGAUGGGCCCGCGGCGCAUUAGCUAGUUGGUGAGGUAACGGCUCACCAAGGCUUCGAUGCGUAGCCGACCUGAGAGGGUGAUCGGCCACAUUGGAACUGAGACACGGUCCAGACUCCUACGGGAGGCAGCAGUGGGGAAUAUUGCACAAUGGAGGAAACUCUGAUGCAGCAACGCCGCGUGAGUGAUGAAGGUCUUCGGAUUGUAAAGCUCUGUCUUCUGGGACGAUAAUGACGGUACCAGAGGAGGAAGCCACGGCUAACUACGUGCCAGCAGCCGCCGUAA
rnacentral:rRNA from 1 species